rnacentral:rRNA from 1 species
UACGUAAGGUGCAAGCGUUGUCCGGAAUUAUUAGGCGUAAAGAGCUCGUAAGCGGUCUGUCGCGUCGGCUGUGAAAACUCGGAGCUCAACCCCGAGCCUGCAGUCGAUACGGGCAGACUAGAGUCCGGCAAAAAAGACUGGAAUUCCUGGUGUAGCGGUGAAAUGCGCAGAUAUCAAGAAGAACACCGGUGGCGAAGGCGGGUCUCUAGGCCGGAACUGACGCUGAAGAGCGAAAGCCAGGGGAGCAAACGGG